rnacentral:rRNA from 1 species
UCCCUUAGACGUUCUGGGCCGCACGCGCGCUACACUGACCAGUGCAACAAGCAUCCGUCCUUGGCCGACAGGCCCGGGCAAUCUUUGAACGCUGGUCGUGAUGGGGAUAGACUUUUGCAAUUUUUGGUCUUCAACGAGGAAUUCCUAGUAAACGCAAGUCAUCAACUUGCAUUGAUUACGUCCCUGCCCUUUGUACACACCGCCCGUCGCACCUACCGAUUGAAUGGUCCGGUGAAGCCUCCGGAUUGGCGCGCACCUCGGUGCCGCCGAGAAGUUGGCUAAACCUUACCAUUUAGAGGAAGGUGAAGUCGUAACA